UACGGAGGAUCCAAGCGUUAUCCGGAAUCAUUGGGUUUAAAGGGUCCGUAGGCGGUUUAAUAAGUCAGUGGUGAAAGCCCAUCGCUCAACGGUGGAACGGCCAUUGAUACUGUUAAACUUGAAUUAUUAGGAAGUAACUAGAAUAUGUAGUGUAGCGGUGAAAUGCUUAGAUAUUACAUGGAAUACCAAUUGCGAAGGCAGGUUACUACUAAUGGAUUGACGCUGAUGGACGAAAGCGUGGGGAGCGAACAGG
rnacentral:rRNA from 2 species